UACGAAGGGGGCGAGCGUUGUUCGGAUUUACUGGGCGUAAAGGGCGCGCAGGCGGCUAUCCAAGUCAGGCGUGAAAGCCCCGGGCUUAACCUGGGAGGUGCGUCUGGGACUGGGUGGCUAGAGUUCGGGAGAGGAGAGUGGAAUUCCCAGUGUAGAGGUGAAAUUCGUAGAUAUUGGGAAGAACACCGGUGGCGAAGGCGGCUCUCUGGACCGAGACUGACGCUGAGGCGCGAAAGCCAGGGGAGCAAACGGG
rnacentral:rRNA from 1 species